rnacentral:rRNA from 1 species
UACAGAGGUGGCAAGCGUUGUUCGGAAUUACUGGGCGUAAAGGGCGCGUAGGCGGUCCGGUAAGUCCUGUGUGAAAUCCCUCGGCUCAACUGAGGAACUGCACGGGAGACUGCCGGGCUUGAGUUCGGGAGAGGUAAGCGGAAUUCCUGGUGUAGCGGUGAAAUGCGUAGAUAUCAGGAGGAACACCUGUGGUGUAGACAGCUUACUGGACCACGACUGACGCUGAGACACGAAAGCGUGGGUAGCAAACAGG